AUAAAGACCACCAGCAGGUCCACCUUCGUCCUUCGUUUUUAAAACCUUUUCACGAGCUUGCCGAAAGUCGUCCAUAACAACUCGCAUUCGGCGUUCACGCAGAGCAAGCAAACCAGCUUCAGAAACGAUUGCUUUAAUUUCUGCACCAGAUAAAUCAUCUUUGCAUUGAAUUAACUCUUCUAAAUUAACAUCCUCGCCCAAAUUCAUCUUGGAAGUGUGAAUGGUAAAAAUUUUACGUUUCGUAGCUUCAUCAGGAUUCUCGAAAAGAAUUUUGCGGUCAAUACGACCUGGACGAAUAAGAGCCGGAUCAAGAUCGCUGAUACGGUUAGUAGCCAUAAUAACCUUAAUAUCACGCUGACUCGUAUCGAAUCCAUCCAACUGAUUGAGUAACUCAAGCAUAGUACGUUGAAUUUCUCGUUCAGCACCCGACUGGGCAUCGUAACGCUUUGUACCUAUAGCAUCAAUUUCAUCAAUAAAAACAAUAGAGGGCGAAUGUUCUUCGGCAGCAUUAAAUAAUUGUCUCACAAGACGGGGACCAUCACCUAAAUAUUUUUGAAUAAGUUCAGAACCAACGACACGCAAGAACGUAGCAGAA